GAUAUACUCCCUCCGUCCUGAAUUACUUGUCUUAGAUUUGUCUAGAUAAAGAUACAGACACGUUUUACUGUUAGAUACAUCAGUAUCUAGACAAAUCUAAGACGAGUAAUUUGGGACGGAGGUUGUAGUAA
rfam:Triticum aestivum genome assembly, contig: Triticum_aestivum_CS42_TGACv1_scaffold_376370_5AL